UACGUAGGGUGCAAGCGUUGUCCGGAAUUAUUGGGCGUAAAGAGCUCGUAGGCGGUCCGUCACGUCGGCUGUGAAAACCUGGGGCUCAACCCCGGGCCUGCAGCCGAUACGGGCGGACUAGAAUUCGGUAGGGGAGACUGGAAUUCCUGGUGUAGCGGUGAAAUGCGCAGAUAUCAGGAGGAACACCAAUAGCGAAGGCAGCUCGCUGGGACGUUACUGACACUGAGGCGCGAAAGCGUGGGGGAGCGAACAGG
rnacentral:rRNA from 1 species